CAUUGAAUCGAUACGGAAUACAUAGAAAAUCUGAAGUCACCUUCAAGUAAAAUGGCUUCGAAGUUGAGCGUCGUAUUUCGUCGUUUCGCGUCGUCUUCCCCCUCUGGUCCUUCGGCUGUUGCUGGGGAACAUUCGGGUGGUGCAAAAAAGUGGAAGAUGCUAACAGGUUUAGUAGCUCUACCCGCUGUUGGUGUGGCAUAUGUCAAUGCUUUUGUAUUUGGUGACCACCAUGAAGAACCACCCGAAUUUCAUAAAUAUGAGCACUUGAGAACUAGAACCAAGCCAUUCCCCUGGGGAGAUGGAAAUCACACUUUAUUCCACAACAAGCAUGCCACCCCAUUACCAGAUGGCUAUGAAGAAGAUUAAAGAUGUUUUCUUUCUCUUUAUAUAUAGUUAAAAGAAGUCUAGAAAUUGGUACAAAACUUGAAACUAGAACCUGAACUUUUGUGUGAAAUAAUUACAAAGUAUUUUUUUUAAAAAUGUUAAUAAAAUAUGAAAUAUA